AGUAACUUACCACUUUCACUAUCUGAUGCAUCGUCAAGUCUGGCUAUAGCAUCGAGUAAUGACUGCUCCUGGUCCUACAAGGACAACCAUUUGACCUCACAACUCUCAGACGAAGGAUAUCUAUAAGGAGCUUUUCUCCAUCAUACAUAAUUCUGUAGAAAAUUGCAUAACAACAGACAAGCCAACUCACUUGCAAAAGUUUCUUGGCCUUUUCGAUCUCACCCAUAUUUGGAUUGGACAAAACCCUCUCCACCUGGGUUGGAACAUACAAUAGUGAGGUAAAAAACCAAUAUCUGAAUGCAUAAUAUCUGAUCUCAUGAGAUAAUUUACCUCUAUGACAACACUUCGAGUGUUAGGUACAUCAAUGUGACCAAUAUUCCUGUUAAUUCCAUUUUGGGGAGGAGCACUAUCCUUAGUAGGCUCAUUUCGAGAAAACCUUCCUCCUCCCCUACUUGCCAUUGCCAUUGUACCGUUGUUGCCUGGGUGCCUCCUCAUCCCAGGAUGAGGACCCCAACCAUCUCGAUUUGAGAUGCCUUGAUCAUCAAGGUCCCAUAUUAUAUCUUCAGGU
rnacentral:sRNA from 1 species